UUUUCCAUGGUUUAAAUAUAGCCUUUCCUAAAUUUCCAGGGCUUGCCUUACGUAUACCGCAACAGUUCUCUAUCCAGUUUCCUUCGUGACGGCCUGAGGACUUGGUUAUAGGCGAACAACAAGGCUAAACAUCAUUAAAUUUUCGACCAUUUAAAAACUGAAAACAAAGUGACGCAUUCGACAUUAAUCGUGACAAUCAAAGAGACUAGUUCGUGUUUUUGGAGAAAAGCAACCACCUUGUAAAAUGACCAAUACCUGCUGCUGCAUAUUCCUUCUGUGUGUCCUAAUAAUUGUUGAUUCUCAAAUUCAAAUAGCGAAGGUGAAAAAUCAAGAACUAAAACUUAACACUCCGGAUGACGGUCGCGGUGCUUCGCAGGAACGUGUGCCGGGGUUCCGUAUGAAAAGAUAAAAAAUUUAUACCGGGGGAUAUUUUUCACAAAGAAUGAAUUGCAAUUGAAACUAAAAGAAUUAAAUGCCUACACAAGCAGCACUAGUAAGAGUCCUGUAUGGCAGAAAAAGUUCAGGAAACCUUACGGCUAUUCCUCGCGUUUUAAAAGUACCAGUAAUUAUUACUAUUCGGGGGAUCAUGACGGUGACCAUUGUUGUCCUACGUACCGUGAUUUGAUUUUCCCUCCUGUCUUAUAUAACACGAGAGGAGUACUUCGUUACAUUGUUCAUUUCCCCGACAGUCAACCAGACCCCAUGUAUCAAUUCAUACCGAGGGGGAGAUGUGUAUCUGGAGGUAGCUGUAACAGGUGUCUACAGGAGAACGCCCUCCACUCCGUGCUCGUGAUUGACUGGACAGCACCCCCAUAUUUCGAGUUUGACGAUUUCUACCUAGAGAGUUAUUGUUCUUGUAAAGAUCGUUAAUUAUAAAUG